rnacentral:other from 1 species
GCAACCCUACUGUGUACGUGUUCACCCUGACGUAUUGAGCCAACACCAUACGGAAGGGAGCCUGGCUCUGGUUGUUAUUAUUGCAGGCCUUAUUAGUACCAAAGGAAGUAAGAAGGCAUCCAGGAGGGCACCCACUUGUUGAACGCAGGUUCAACAACUCAGGAUGAAAACGGCAUCGGUGGGGUAUGU